rnacentral:rRNA from 1 species
AACGAACGCUGGCGGCAGGCUUAACACAUGCAAGUCGAGCGCCCCGCAAGGGGAGCGGCAGACGGGUGAGUAACGCGUGGGAACGUACCUUUUGGUUCGGAACAACUCCGGGAAACUGGAGCUAAUACCGGAUAAGCCCUAACGGGGAAAGAUUUAUCGCCGAAAGAUCGGCCCGCGUCUGAUUAGCUAGUUGGUGAGGUAACGGCUCACCAAGGCGACGAUCAGUAGCUGGUCUGAGAGGAUGAUCAGCCACACUGGGACUGAGACACGGCCCAGACUCCUCGGGGGGGCAGCAGGGGGGAAUAUGGGAAAAGGGGCGAAAGCCGGAUCCGCCCAGGCCGGGGGAGUGAUGAAGGCCUUGGGGUUGUAAAGCUCUUUUGCCCGGGAAGAUAAUGACUGUCCCGGAAAAAAAAGCCCCGGUUACCUUCGU